rnacentral:ncRNA from 2 species
CCAAAGUCAAAUCUCCAAGGUGCCGCCUUUCGGGGUGGAGAAUUGGGAAGCCGGUGAAAUUCCGGCGCUGCCCCCGCAACGGUAAGGAUGGGGGAUGCCGCAACCAGCCACUGGGCCGCAAGGUCUGGGAAGGCGCUGCAUCCAGAACCCCGCCAAGCCCGGAAACCAGCCCUGGAACACGACGUCAA